rnacentral:lncRNA from 1 species
AUGAACAUUAGUGUUCACAUCUGUACAGCUGAUUUUUAUGACGCCUAACAUUAAUUUAAGCCUGUUUUCAUAGGAGUGAUGGUUCUCAAUGUCCUAAAUUGCUUUGUUGCAGUUGUGCAUCGAGGUGGAACUUCGGUUCAAUGCUAACAUAGCAAGACUCGAGAGCGAACUCAAUGAUGUGGUAGACGUUUUUUCUGAAAAGAAAGAACGGGUCUGCACACUGGUGGAUGUUAUGAAGCACAUACAAGGCAACGUUGGACACAGUCUGAUAAAUGAGACGGAAUCGCCUGGUGAUGAACUUCAAUUAUCAGCGCCUCACAUUUACUGCACUCCUGACUAAGUCUGGGUUUUUGCUGGCAGCCAAGCCGAAGUCAUCUCUGUCUCCACAUCUGGAUUACCGCGGGCACUUAUUUUUUGUCUUUUGGUGUAUUAUAUAAAGAACUUACAGUAUCCAGUUGCGUAUUCCCAGAUGCUUGCUCUUGUGCAGACAAUUGCAUUGCCAGGAGAUAGGCCACCAAAAAGUGCGGUUUGUGGACGCCUGAAAUGUUUUUUGGCCUUUCUAAAGCAGAAAAAUGUAAUUUAAGCUGCAGCACUUUUCUCUGCUAUCUGUGUUUAUGUAGUAAUGCAGCUGCAUUACUUUAUGUAGCUGUAUUUGUGACAUCUUUUGUGUCUUUCAUAGCUGUAGGGCUCUGACACUACUCGACGUAUCACCCUGUUUUAGAUAUGACAUCUUGCAAAGAAGAGAUGUUUAAAUAAAGAAUUUCGUACCUGACAGUGCUUUUUUGAGAAAAUUCAAAAAAUGUGUAAAAGAAUACCUUGUUUGAAAAGUUCAGACAGUGUUAGGAAGUACACUAAUGGAAUUGCCUUCAAGUUCAUUUGAAAUGCCAUUGAUAUCCGAGACAUUGCCCGGAGAGCUUUGCAGUGUGAUUGAACUCACCUGUUCUAAUACCAGCCAGCCUAAAAUAAAUA